rnacentral:lncRNA from 1 species
CAGAGUAUCAUUUAACUAACACGGAGGCACAAAAUAUCACAUCUCCGAUUAUCCAUGUUGUAGCAUAUAUGCAAAUCCAUGUUGUGCUAACGCAAAUCUCCGUGUUGCUUGGUGAGUCAUCCCUAUUGUACUAGCUCUUAAGAUGGUAUGCAGCCAUACAAGUGCAAUCUUUUCUCAAUGCCACUCAUUCCUAGUUAAAAUUGGUAUACCUUAGCAUUGUUCUUUCUUCCUUUUGGUACGAGCCUUCUGUAUGUCUACACAUCAGGGAUUCUACUAUAUAUACAGAUCAAGACGAGAACAAUAGCAUGUAAAAAAAAAAGAGAGAUGACCCACCAAGAGUACCCCUAGCUAACGUGUCUGUGGCAGUUCCUCUAGUGGCU